rfam:Fukomys damarensis contig87618, whole genome shotgun sequence.
AUCCUUUGGUUCAUAAGCCUGUGCUUUGAUGUUCAUGCCACUGUGUGAGAUGUGUCUCCCCCAAAUCUUGUUAUGAUGUCAGUAUAUUCAUUUCCUAUUUGAAG